rnacentral:tRNA from 1 species
GGAGAUGUGAUUUAGCAGUUGAAAGUUCUGGUUGCUCUUCCAGAGGACCUGGGUUCAAUUCCCAGCACCCACA